rnacentral:misc_RNA from 1 species
GCGAUUCGAGUCCUAGCAGAGAUACACAUUUCUUUCGACUACGUUAGUUUUCGCAAAAAUAUUGUUCACGGCUACACUAUGUUUUUUCAUCCUAUGUGUUUCAUGUUUCGUGUUCGUUUAUUAUACGAUUAAUGAUUUCAAGAAUUUUUAUGAUCCUGAGAAUGAUUUAGUUUCAAAUAAUUUUUCAGACCCACGUUAAUCGGUAGACUACCGUAUUAUCACAUGGGGAUAAACGAGGAUGAAGAAAAAAGCGUGACUUGGACAGUUGCAUUACUCCUAUUUACCCCAUACGUAAUAUACAACGAAUCUGAUUAUUCGCUGUACGAAACUUUUGAGCAUUUUUACGAUUCGGUGGUAAAGAGUAUAAGCGGUGCAGGGCGAAGAUUGAGAAGGGUGCUGGGUGCAGGAUGAGGGGUGUUCUACUACGUGAGAAUCAAGCGCCUGUAAUUCGGGGGAUUCCAGAUAAAAAUGGCAGGAGAAAGUCACGGUAUACGACCCAAAAACACCUGAGCCCCGGCUUUCUAUCUUAAUAUCAUGGAAACUAGAACCUGAUCAGUUUUGCUCUCGGCGAACCACCGGUUUAAAAUCACAUGGGGGCAGUGAAAGGAAUAUCGGGCGUUCGGCUCAUGUGCUGACGUUAUCCG